UACGUAGGGGGCAAGCGUUGUCCGGAUUUAUUGGGCGUAAAGAGCGUGUAGGCGGCCAGGUAGGUCCGUUGUGAAAACUCGAGGCUCAACCUCGAGACGUCGGCGGAAACCCUCUGGCUAGAGUCCGGAAGAGGAGAGUGGAAUUCCUGGUGUAGCGGUGAAAUGCGCAGAUAUCAGGAAGAACACCCGUGGCGAAAGCGGCUCUCUGGAACGGUACUGACGCUGAGACGCGAAAGCGUGGGGAGCGAACAGG
rnacentral:rRNA from 1 species